UUUUUUCUUUUUGUUCAGGUUUUUCAUGUGCCAUGCAGUUAAUUACUUAAUUCCAAGUUCCAACUAGGCUUUUACUGCUGUAAUCUCUUUGUAUUUGACUUUUUCAAGUGCAAGGAUUGUUUUAUGUUUCAUGAGGAAAGUAAUGUAAACUCAAAAACACGUUAUCAAAUUUUGAUUGACCUUGUACAUUGACAUGGAACGAGGCCAUCUGGUAGCAAGAAUAUGAAUUCAAAUGGCUUUAGGAAAGUUCUUACCCUUUUUAUACUUCUUUUAUGUUUGAAUGUGCGUAGGGGGUUAGUUGGAUGAACAAUUCCACAAGGUCAAAGUAUAUAUUAGCAACAUCGGGUUAACUAAUCCCACAAUGACAUGAGAUGUUCAAAAAAAAAAAGAUAAAAUCACCAUUAGUUGAGGCAUACUUUAGACUUCCCAUAUGUUAUCAUUCCCACACCUUUGCUUUCUAAACUUUGAAUUUGUCCUUGACUGCAACCUGCAGAUCAUUUCCAGAAACGCUAGUAAAAAUGACCUGCAUACACAGAAACGCUAGUAAUUUGUCCCAUAGAAACGCUAGCUGGU
rnacentral:lncRNA from 1 species